AUUUGAUCAGGAAAUCUGCAGAGGCUCCUGCAACGUAACCGGACAUAGCCAUGACUGCCCAAGGUAUGGCGCUGAACCAUGCUGCUUGUUUUAGAUUUACAUUAUAAACCUGUAGUAGGAUUGUAGUUAGAAAUAGCUUGGAGUUUUGAGAGUAGUAUUAAUCAAGGCAAAAUAGCCAAAUACGUCCCUCAACUUUAUUCUAGGGAUCACUUUAGUCCUUCAACUAUUAAAUAGGUCACAUUAGUCCCUAAAGUUUCUCUUUUGGGUCAAACUGGUCCUUAGGCUGACUUGGCAUGCCAUGUGGUCUUGCCAUGUCAGCAGUGGGCAACCUUUGGAUGACUCAACAUAGUAGAAUUGUCUCUUUUACCCCUUUGAUUCACCAUGUAUAUUAGAAUGGUUGUGUAUAAGAUUGUUGCGACGAGGGUACAAAAUAAUCGCACCUUCUAUCCUAUGUUCAUGCAUCUAGCUUUAGUUUUUGUUGAAUCUUAGGUAUGGAAACUAACAUAUGACAUUGUUUAGGCUCUGUUAGAACAUUUUGAUCAAUUUCAUUUUGGAAGAAAAAUAAUGAAGAUGUGCAUAACACACUAUGCCAUCACUUUAUUUAUUUUAUCUUGCUUGAGCAGACGAGUGUGAAAAAUUCCUUGUAAUAUGUGAAACCCACGUCAGGUAUUAUUUAUUAGAUGAAACAAGGGGUAAAUGUGGCAAUUAUAACAUGUUUGACUCAUCUAAGGGCAACCAAAGAUGACAUGGCAUGAACACAUGGCAUGCCACAUCAGUCCAGGGACCGUUUUGAUCCAAAGUGAAAAGUUGGAGGACUAAAACGGACUAUUUGAUACUUUAGGGACAAAGUGAUCCUUGGACUAACGUUUAGGGACAUAUUUGCCUAUUUUGCCAUUAAUCAACUAGGAGGCCUUUGAUAACAUACCGUUUUGAAGUACACAGGCAUCCACGACAAUAAGACAAAGUAGCCCUGCAUGGUAUUUUGAAUUUGCCGGUGUUAGAAUUCGUACACAAUAUGACCAAACUGUAAUGUUGCUAGCCGAUCAUCCUUACCCAGUUGUUGACCACAUUGGCUAUAGUGACAGCCAAGAACUCAAAUUUCGAGAACAAUUCCCUAAGGGAUGGGCCUUUACUGCCUUUGACUUUAGAUCCGCUUCUUCCAUCUAGAAUAAAUUGCAGCUCAGAUUUGCUUAUGGUACGGCUGUCAAUAGGAUCGCUUUCUACAUUAAACAUCCAUACAGAUAGCCACAAGUAACCAAGCGAUGCGAAGAAGGCAAAUGUUCCAGUAAGGCCUAUGUGUGACAUGAUGAUCGGUGUUGCUAGGAAGCUUAUGACGUUUCCAAGAUGGAAUCCACCCAUUGAAAUGCCGACAGCGGUGGCACGCUCUUGUGUUGGAAACCACCUGUUUCAUGCUCAAUGUUAGAUUGAACCCAAUACUGAAAUGUUGUUUGAUGACAUUGACAUCAAAUAGGUGGCAGUUUUUUUUUUUUAUUUUGGAGAUUCUGUAGCAGCUAAAUUGAAAUCAAUGAAUAAAAACCUAAACUGAAAUACCAGCAAGAUCAGAUGAACAAUACUUGCAUGUGCAGUUGAAAGAACUAUUCUAGUUACCAAGUUGGAUGUUGCUUAAAGCUUUAAAACGCCAGCUACAAGCAAAUUAAUCGGGUGAGAAAUUUGUUACUCACUUUGGUAAGAAGGUGCUCAUUGUCGGAAAUGCAACACCUUCGGCUAGGCCAAAGAGUGCACGCACAGCAAGCAACAUGGUGGUGGAGCGGGAGGCAGCCCAAGGAGUGAGGAUUGUAGCCAAGGACCAUAGUGCAGCAGCACCUGCCAUCACCUUCUUCCCGCCAUAUUUGUCUGCCAAAGCUCCUCCAACCAUGGAUGAACAAACGUAUCCCCAUAAAAAUGAUGACUGCAGAAAUGGUGAUGAUACUAACAUCAGAUUCAACCAGCCUAGUAGCAAGAUAACAAGCUUAUCGAGCAUCAGGGCAUACACCACAUGGAGUUUUGAGUUGGGUGUUUCUAGUUACUGAUUUUUUCCCCCAGUGUAAUCCUCCUGGUCCCUAUCACCAGGUAAAACAAGACACCAAUAGCAAGGACAUCUGAACUAGUCCAAUUAUCCAAUUCGAAUCCUGUCGAUAUCAGGAGACUUUUGAUAGCAUAUCUAUGUGAUUGACUGUCCAAGGAAACUAACCUUCACUUUACCGAUUUGUGCUCUGCAGUCAAAUACAGGCUAACUAUAAUCAUUGUCAUGGCUCGUGGUCAAUUGAGAAAGCAAACACAUAAACUUCCAUUCUCAAAUUGGUCGUGUUCUGGUGACAUGUUGGUAACUUGGAGCUGCUCUGGGCCGGCACACGGCAAGACUGUAGUCCAUAAGAGGCUGGAAGACCGACCGUCUCCCAUCGUUGCAGUUCCACGUGCUUCUUCUAAAAUGUAAUGCUUCAGUCGUUUUCUCAUCGCGUCUGGCACUGACGUGUCGAUGCAGAGUUGACCUUUUUUGUUCUAUGAACUGAUCGUUCGGGACAUUUUGUUCUUCAUUACAGAGCAGCGAAUUUGUUGCUUAAUUUCUGAGAAAAGGGGUCCUUCGCUUUGCUUCUACUUUUCGUCAAUGCACAGAGGAAAAAGGAGGGGGAACGAAGCAUCAAGCAAGUGCUGGGGGAUUCAGCUG
rnacentral:lncRNA from 1 species